ensembl:snRNA U4 U4 spliceosomal RNA
AGCUUUGCGCAGUGGCAGUAUCGUAGCCAAUGAGGUUUAUCCAAGGCGCGAUUAUUGCUAAUUGAAAUGAGGCCAUCUAAGAAACUACUUAAUCCCUUACCUUACUUACUCCUGUUAAAUUAAUUAUAUAAGGAGGUCAUUAGACUGA